AUUGAACGCUGGCGGCAUGCCUUACACAUGCAAGUCGAACGGUAACAGGUCUUCGGAUGCUGACGAGUGGCGAACGGGUGAGUAAUACAUCGGAACGUGCCCAGACGUGGGGGAUAACGAGGCGAAAGCUUUGCUAAUACCGCAUACGAUCUAAGGAUGAAAGUAGGGGACCGCAAGGCCUUGCGCGUUUGGAGCGGCCGAUGGCAGAUUAGGUAGUUGGUGGGAUAAAAGCUUACCAAGCCGACGAUCUGUAGCUGGUCUGAGAGGACGACCAGCCACACUGGGACUGAGACACGGCCCAGACUCCUACGGGAGGCAGCAGUGGGGAAUUUUGGACAAUGGGCGAAAGCCUGAUCCAGCAAUGCCGCGUGCAGGAUGAAGGCCUUCGGGUUGUAAACUGCUUUUGUACGGAACGAAAAGGCUCUGGCUAAUACCUGGGGCACAUGACGGUACCGUAAGAAUAAGCACCGGCUAACUACGUG
rnacentral:rRNA from 1 species